rnacentral:rRNA from 1 species
GAUCCUGGCUUAGGAUGAACGCUAGCGACAGGCUAACACAUGCAAGUCGAGGGGCAGCACGGGAGUAGCAAUACAACUGGUGGCGACCGGCGCACGGGUGAGUAACGCGUAUGCAACCUACCUAUCAGAGGGGAAUAACCCGGCGAAAGUCGGACUAAUACCGCAUAAAACAGGGGCACCGCAUGGUGAUAUUUGUUAAAGAAAUUCGCUGAUAGAUGGGCAUGCGUUCCAUUAGGUAGUUGGUGAGGUAACGGCUCACCAAGCCGACGAUGGAUAGGGGAACUGAGAGGUUGGUCCCCCACACUGGUACUGAGACACGGACCAGACUCCUACGGGAGGCAGCAGUGAGGAAUAUUGGUCAAUGGGCGAGAGCCUGAACCAGCCAAGUCGCGUGAAGGAAGAAGGAUCUAUGGUUCGUAAACUUCUUUUGCAGGGGAAUAAAGUGCAGGACGUGUCCUGUUUUGUAUGUACCCUGAGAAUAAGGAUCGGCUAACUCCGUGCCAGCCGCGGC